rnacentral:rRNA from 1 species
GUGCCAGCAGCCGCGGUAAUACCGGCAGCUCGAGUGAUGUCCAAUAUUAUUGGACCUAAAGCGUCCGUAGCUGGCCGCGCAAGUCCGUCGGGAAAUCCACCUGCCCAACAGGUGGGCGUCCGACGGAAACUGUGUGGCUUGGAACCGGAAGGCUCAGAGGGUACGUCCGGGGUAGGAGUGAAAUCCCGUAAUCCCGAACGGACCACCGAUGGCGAAAGCAUCUCGAGAAAACGGAUCCGACAGUGAGGGACGAAAGCCAGGGUCUCCAACCGGAUUAGAAACCCGGGUAGUCC